AAAAACAGCUUUUCUGAUGUAUAUCUUAAAAAAAUCCUAGGGAAGUCGACUGAUUAUCCCCCUAGAAACAGUGACUGAUUUUCUUUUGUUUUCCGGGGACUUUAGCCGUGUCUAUUAUAUUUGAAGAGACAUUUUUCCAACAGACGGCUGAGAAAUUAGGAUUUCCUUCUAUGCUAUCAGAGUGGCGACUUAUCGCCGUAUUGCUAUCAAAGAAUAAAAUCUUUUUAUGUGUCGCCUGACGUAAUUUCUUUCGAUAUAAUUGAACCGCAGUGGAACUGAAUGAUGCGUUAUCACUAUAUCGAAAACCAAUGAAAAGUUUCCAACACGUUCCGUUGCAUAACAUCCCUCUUUUAUAAGAACAUAAUUAAAUUCGACGUCCUUCAUUUUCUCCCGAGUCUUUCAGUAAAGAUAAGUGUUUAGAGGGCGGAAUCAGGUCAUGUUUCCUGGAUUCAGUCCUCCAAAUCAUUUGAGUAAGCGCUACCAUUAUCCUCUCAUAGUGUGAAAAAAUUCAGUAAUGAGUCAAUACACGGAUGUAGUAUGGUGGUUAGAUUCUGUAAGCAAUCAUUUAUUACUAAGAUCUGUAGUAACGUGAGGAUUCUACGUCCAGCAUUUACGAAGGCGCAAGAAACACAAUACUUUCGUCACCAACUUUCUGCGGUGCUUAGUCUGAGAGAGACUCAAGUUGACAGCACAUUACACCUAGGACAGCGGUCGAGCUACGAACGGAUGAGAUAACAUAAUCAUUAAUGAAAUCAGUGUAACGUAGGGCGGAACUAAAAUUUCAUGCGCAAGAAGUUCAAUAAUUGCAAAAAGAGAGAAUACGCCCAGGAUAGGAUACAUGGAACUAGGCAAUGCUGUGUACUGGAGUUUUUGAAAUUGGAACUUUUAAUUUGUCUUUUAGUGCCUAUCCGAGUUCGGUUACAGAGGCUGCGGUCAGAGGUCCCGAAAGGGGAGCAAAUUGGGGGAUGCGAAGCACGUGUUCGGGAAAAGGAGAGGGUGGUGCCGAAAAGGAAACAAACACAUCAAGCAUCAGUCGCAAUCUCAACCACCGCAAAAAGAUCGGAGGGCAUAAAUAAUACGAGGAUCUCGUAAGCACAAGUGCCGGAACGGAUGGAUGGAUUAUCUGUGAAGCCGCCGUGUUGCCGCUUUUAUCAGCGAAUUUUGACUUACAGAAGGGAUGCGCCGCAGAAUUUUUGUAAAUUCAUAUUGAAAAUGUUGAAUGUUGAUUUAUACCCUAUACACGCCAGGGAACGAGGAAAGAAAUAGUCCCAAAAUAGAAUUUAAAAAAAAGUAAAGAUUUAAGCAUUUAUUUCUUCAGCCUUUUGAUUCAACCUUCGUGACUCCAUUCUGUGAAUUGCAGUAAUGGUCCAAAAUUAUUAGUAGUUACAGUUGCAUCUCAAAUUGUACUACUUUGAAUCUCCACUCAUGUUGAAUUUAUUUAAAAGAGAACCACCUGACUGUUUUUCUUGGAUUCUUCUGUACACUGGUAAAAAAAAAAAUUGCGGGUAUUUUGAAUCAGUGUAAUUAAUUUUCCCGUGUUUUGGCCUCAGCCAUCGGUAUUUUAAAGCUUUGUUUUAAAGUUUUAAGAAGCAAAAAACUUUUCACAGUUUUUAGUUUUUUGCACUGUAAUCAGCAAUCCACUCAAUGU
rnacentral:lncRNA from 1 species